UACUAAGCGGAGGAAAAGAAACCAACGGGGAUUCCCAUAGUAACUGCGAGUGAAAGGGGAACAGCCCAGCGCCGAAUCCUGUUGCUGGUAACGGUAACUGGAACUGUGGCGUGAAGAAGGUGGUUACCGAUGUGGCUUGCCUGCGUAAGUUCUCCUGAGUGAGGCUCCAUCCCAUGGAGGGUGCAAGGCCCGUAUCGUGGGUAGUCAAUGUCGGUAUACACUUUCGGAGAGUCGCCUUGUUUGCGAGUACAAGGUGAAGUCGGUGGUAAACUCCAUCGAAGGCUAAAUAUGACCACGAGUCCGAUAGCGAACAAGUACCGUGAGGGAAAAUUGAAAAGCACUUUGAAGAGAGAGCGAAACAGUGCGUGAAACCGUUCAGAGGCAAGCAAAUGGGGCCUCGAAGGCAGAGCAGCGAAUUCAGCUGGUAGUCUGUGUGGCUGGCUGGCUUUGUGAUCGUAAGACGCAAGUUGGUUAUGCUAGCGCAGCUGCUAGUGCACUUUCGCUGUUUGUACGCCACCGCCGUUGAGCGAGCAUCCGUCAGGUUGACGUGUGAAGCCUUACUCCUUUACGGGCGUAGGUGCUUACUGUCGACUAUGUACGCGUUUGCGCCUCAACCGGUCAUGUCAGCGUGUGCCAGCGUUAGCGUUGGGCUAGUACGCUCAGUCGAAUGUUGCGAGAUGACGAGCUUGCUCGGCUCUUCAACGUUUAGCUGACCCGUUGCUGGUUUUCAACGUGGGCACAUUGUAGAUUCGGUGGCGAGUAGACGGCUGCCCAUUUAACCCGUCUUGAAACACGGACCAAGGAGUUCAACAUGCGCGCUAGUUGUUGGGACUAAAAAGCCCGCUAGCAAAGUGAAAGCAAGACACAGUGCAACGCUGUGUAUUGGCGAGAUCCCGUCACUUGGGCUGUCAUGGCCUGAGCCGGGCGCAUCGCCGGCCCGUCUUAAGCUCACGUGGCUUUGGCGGAGCUUGAGCGUGCACGUUGAGACCCGAAAGAUGGUGAACUAUGCCUGGGCAGGAUGAAGCCAGGGGAAACUCUGGUGGAGGUCCGUAGCGAUUCUGACGUGCAAAUCGAUCGUCUGACCUGGGUAUAGGGGCGAAAGACUAAUCGAACCAUCUAGUAGCUGGUUCCCUCCGAAGUUUCCCUCAGGAUAGCUGGCACUCGGAGAACGUAGUCUCUCCCGGUAAAGCGAAUGAUUAGAGGUCUUGGGGUCGAAACGGCUUCAACCUAUUCUCAAACUUUAAAUGGGUGAGAAGUCCGGCUUGCUUAAAUGCGAAGCUGAAGUCCGGACGUUGGAUACGAGCGCCUAGUGGGCCACUUUUGGUAAGCAGAACUGGCGCUGUGGGAUGAACCGAACGCUGAGUUAUGGCGCCCGACGAGACGCUCAUGAGAUCCCAGAAAAGGUGUUGGUUGCUAUAGACAGCAGGACGGUGGCCAUGGAAGUCGGAACCCGCUAAGGAGUGUGUAACAACUCACCUGCCGAAGCAACUAGCCCUGAAAAUGGAUGGCGCUAGAGCGUCUGGCCUAUACUCGGCCGUUGCAGCAGCAGCAACGAUAAGUCAAGCUGCGACGAGUAGGAGGGUCGCGGCGGUGGCGUCGAAGGCUUACGGGCGUGAGCCUGGCUGGAGCCGCCGUCGGUGCAGAUCUUGGUGGUAGUAGCAAAUACUCAAGCGAGAACCUUGAGGACUGAAGUGGAGAAGGGUUCCAUGUGAACAGCAGUUGAACAUGGGUCAGUCGAUCCUAAGGUAUCGGCGAAAGCCGUUCAGAAGCGGUGUGGAUAGUGUCUUCGGGCACUGGUUGUUGUAUUGGCUUUACGGUUAGUGCAAUGAUCACCGCACCUACCGAAAGGGAAUCGGGUUAAUAUUCCCGAACCCGGCAUCGGAUAUUGGUUUGCUCUCGGGUAAACACAUGCGGUAACGCAAAUGAACUCGGAAACGCUGACAUGUGCCCUAGAAAGAGUUGUCUUUUCUUCAUAAGGCACAGGCUCCCUGGAAUCGGAUCAUCCGGCGAUAGGGAGAUGGUGUCCGUAGAGCACCGCGGUUCUUGCGGUGUCUGGUGCGCACAUGUCGGUCCUUGAAAAUCCGAGGGAGAGUGUGAUUUUCGUGCCGGAUCGUACCCAUAUCCGCAGCAGGUCUCC
rnacentral:rRNA from 1 species